rnacentral:misc_RNA from 1 species
AAGUCGUAACAAGGUUUCCGAUAGGUGAACCUCGGGAAGGGACGUUAAUGAUUGCGAAUGGUUACCUUCGGUGCUUGGCUCUUGCAAGCGCACGUUGGUGGCUUUCAUCCAAUACCCUUGUGAACCUUUGGCCCUCUUGCUAGCUUCGGCUGGCAGGAGGAUUUUUACACACUCGAAUGUAAUGAAAAGCUAUUGUCGUGCGCAAGCACUAAUGUACAA